GCAGCCUGGGUGACUGAGACAUUGACUCAAAAAAAAAACUUUUUUUUGCUUAUAAUUAUAUAUCUUUUUAGUUUUCUUCACAGGAAAAAAGCCAAUUCAGUAUUAAAAUGCUACCCAAGAUUGACGGCAAAUACAAAGAGGAAGUCUGCAUAUUCAAAUAGGCGAGACAAACUUUUGAAAAUAACAAUUAAAAAAAAAAUUGAUCACUGCUGGCACGAUGGCUGAAUAGGAAGAGCUCCAGUGUGCAACUCCCAGCGAGAGCAAUGCAAAAGAGUCUCCUCUCUCCACUCAGGAGGGAUUUGAAAAUUAACAAAGAGGAAGUCAUGUGAGGGUCUCAAGCUCACCUCCUUCAGAGUCGCAACCUGUGGCUUGUGUGAAAUGAACACGUGGGAC
rnacentral:lncRNA from 13 species